UUAAUUCCGAGACACGACACCGAUCCGUUUAGGAGAAGUGAAUGAUUCCACACUACCGAGGAAAACCUAGCAGUGAGUUUACAUAGUGCCCGUACCCCAAACCAACACAGGUAGAUAGGUAGAGCGUACCAAGGUGAUCGAGAUAACUCUGGUUAAGGAACUCGGCAAAUUACAUCCGUAACUUCGGAAGAUGGAUGGCCAUUUUAUUGUUAAGAGAUUUACUCUCAAGGCAUGAAUUGGCGCCACAAACCAGGCCCAAGCGACUGUUUACCAAAAACACAGGAGCAUGCAAAGUCGUAAGACACAGUAUAUGCUCUGACGCCUGCCCAAUGCUGGAAGGUUACGAGGAUGGGUUAGCUUCGGCGAAGCUCAGAAUUUAAGCCCCAGUGAAUGGCGGCCUUAACGAUUAGGGUCCUAAGGUAGCGAAAUUCCUUGUCGGGUAAGUUCCGACCUGCACGAAUGGCGUAACGACUUGGGCACUGUCUCAACCAGAGACUCGGUGAAAUUGCAAUACGAGUUAAGAUGCUCGUUUUUCGCACUAAGACGGUAAGACCCCGUGAACCUUUACUGCAACUUGAUGUUGGGUUUUGGUAUAGAAUGUGUAGAAUAGGUGGGAGACUUGGAAAGAUCGACGUCAGUUGGUCUGGAGUCAUCCAGUGAAAUACCACCCUUUCUAUAUCGAGACCUCUAACUUACUCCCAUUAUCUGGGAGAAGGACAGCUUCAGGCGGGUUUUUGACUGGGGCGGUCGCCUCCUAAAUUGUAGCGGAGGCGCCCAAAGGUCCUCUCAGUCUGGUUGGCAAUCAGACGUUGAGUGCAAUGGCAUAAGAGGGCUUAACUGUGAGACCUACAAGUCGAGCAGAUACGAAAGUAGGGCAUAGUGACCUGGUGAUUCCUUGUGGAAGGGUCAUCAAUAAACGGAUAAAAGGUACUCCGGGGAUAACAGGCUAAUUUUGCCCAAGCGUCCAUAGCGACGGCAAAGUUUGGCACCUCGAUGUCGGCUCGUCGCAUCCUGGGGGUGGAGAAGCUCCCAAGGGUUGGGCUGUUCGCCCAUUAAAGCGGCACGCGAGCUGGGUUCAGAACGGCGUGAGCCAGUUCGGUCCCUAUCUAGUGCGAACGUAAGAGAAUUGAGAAGAGCUGCUCCCAGUACGAGAGGACCGGAGUGGACGAAGCUCUCGUGUGACAGUUGUCUCGCCAGAGGCAUGGCUGUUUAGCGACCUUCGGAUUGGAUAGCCGCUGAAAGCAUCUAAGCGGGAAGCCAACUUCAAGAUGAGUUCUCUCAUAGUGUUAAACUAAUAAGACCCCUAGGAGACUACUAGGUUGAUAGGCCAGAUGUGUAAGUACAGCAAUGUAUUUAGCUGACUGGUACUGAUAGGUCGAAGGCUUC
rnacentral:rRNA from 1 species